AACGAACGCUGGCGGCAGGCUUAACACAUGCAAGUCGAGCGCCCCGCAAGGGGAGCGGCAGACGGGUGAGUAACGCGUGGGAACGUACCCGAUGGUACGGAAUAACUCAGGGAAACUUGUGCUAAUACCGUAUGUGCCCGCAAGGGGAAAGAUUUAUCGCCAUCGGAUGAACCCGCGUCAGAUUAGCUAGUUGGUGUGGUAAAGGCGCACCAAGGCGACGAUCUGUAGCUGGUCUGAGAGGAUGAUCAGCCACACUGGGACUGAGACACGGCCCAGACUCCUACGGGAGGCAGCAGUGGGGAAUAUUGGACAAUGGGCGCAAGCCUGAUCCAGCCAUGCCGCGUGAGUGAUGAAGGCCUUAGGGUUGUAAAGCUCUUUCGCCGACGAAGAUAAUGACGGUAGUCGGAGAAGAAGCCCCGGCUAACUUCGUGCCAGCCGCCGCCGUAAGAC
rnacentral:rRNA from 1 species